GCCUUCGUAGUGUGGUGGUCAGCACGCUCGACGCGUUCCAGAGGUCCGUGGUUCGAGUCCCGGCGAGGGCA
rnacentral:tRNA from 1 species